UACGAAGGGUGCAAACGUUGCUCGGAAUUAUUGGGCGUAAAGCGCGCGUAGGCGGUUACUCAAGUCGGAUGUGAAAGCCCUCGGCUUAACUGAGGAAGUGCACCCGAAACUGAGUAGCUAGAGUACUAAAGAGGGUCGCGGAAUUCCCGGUGUAGAGGUGAAAUGCGUAGAUAGUCUGGAGGAACACCGAUGGCGAAGGCAGCCCCCUGGGCCAACACUGACGCUCAGGCACG
rnacentral:rRNA from 1 species